CCUCAAUAUUUGCUUUUUUUUUAAAAGAAAAGGAGGGACGAGUCAAAAUAAGUUUUUGUGGUAUUCAACAUUAUGUCACAAAUGAUGUCGGUUUAUCUUAACUGGCAUUGAACCCGGAAUAUUCCUUUAAGGUGUAUGUUUAUCAACCACACGUAAACCUUCAUCCUAAACAAUUCCAUGCUACAAAAGAGUAGAAUAUGGCACCUUUCAUUAUAAUAAUCGUAAAAGGUUCAAGUGUACGGGGCAAUAGUAUCAUGUGCAAUUCCAGGGCUUUUUCCCAAUGUCCUCCUCGUUUACGCAGAGCUGGAAAAGUCCACAUGACAUUGGAAUGUUCUAGCAAGCACGGCGCGCUCUGGUCAAAGGUAAACCCUCGUUCAACUAGACAGAUCAAGCUCUGAGGAUCCACUUAUAAAAAUGACCCGCAUCAGCACGGGAAUGAUCAGCCCUCUCCAGCUCCACGUCUGUUUCGACCUCACACUGGAAAAGGGCUCUUGUUAAACUCUGGAGUUGUAAAUAAUCUCCGUAGAGCCGUAAGGAUCCUCGCACUAGAAACAGAAGCUUAUUCAUAUCAAGUGAAAAUCUUUACUCCACAUGUGACCGCGGAAUAUAAAUGAUCCCCCUGGAACACCGGGCUCAGGGAAUUUAAGCGCUCCCACAUUUAAUCAAAGACUCGCAGUACAUCGGAAACAAGCACGCUGACAGCCAACAUCAACACAUUAGCCAGCUGAAAUAAUGGAGGGCUGAUCACGGCACGAGUGACGCCUGUGGCACCUCGCACGGCCAGAGAGAAAGCAGCGGAUGAGUUUAUAGACGGACAGAGACUCACCCUGUAUAUUUAUAGGACAGAAUUCCUCAUGUGUUCAAGGUCUAAUACUGUAAUCAACUUCAGAAGCAGAGAAAGCCACAUUCAAUCCCCAACAGAUGCAAAGGCCACAAUCACAGUCAGACAUGGGGCAUUUUUCAACUAGGGGAACGUUUCUGUGCCCUGGGAUGAUUCGAACUAACAUUAGUAUAUGCAUUAGAAACUAUGAACUAAAAAUGGACAAUAUAUAGCGAUGUGAAAAAGUAUUUGCCCCUUCCUGGUUUUGUCUAGCUGUGUGUAUUUUUCAUACCAAAUUGUUUUGAUCUUCAAACGAGAUGUAACAUAAAACAAGGGCAACCCGAGUAAACACAAAAUACAGUUUUCAAAUAAAUAUAUAUAUAUAUUUUUAUUGAAGCAAAACAAUUAUCAAAACAACCAUAUCACCUAUGUGAAAAACGAACUGCCCCCUUAACGUUAAUAGCUGGUUGUGCCGCCUUUAGCAGCAACGACUGCAACCUUCCAGUAACUUGAGAUCAGUCUUUCACAACGCUGUGGGGGAAUUCUGGCCCACUCAUCUUUAGUUCAGCCCCAUUGGAGGGUUUUCGAGCAUGAACUGGCUGUUUAAGUUCGUGCCACAGCAUCUCAAUCGGGUUCAAGUCAGGACUUUAACUAGACUACUGCAGAACUUGAAUUUAGCUUCUUUUGAGACAUUCAGAGGUGGACGUACUCCUGUGUUUUGAAUCAUUGUUGUGCUUGAGCUUCAUCUCACGGACUGAUGUGUAUUCCCUCAAUUAUUGCAAGUCACCCUGAAGCAGCAAAGCAUCCCCACACCAUCACACUAUCCCGACCACGCUUGACCGCAGGUAUGAUGUUUUUUUUUUUUUGUGGAAUUCUGUGUUUGAUUUACGCCAGAUGUAACGGGACCCCCGUCUUCCAAACAGUUCCACUUUCGACUCAUCAGCCCACAGAACAUUCUCCCAAAAGGUUUGAGGAUCAUCAAAGUGUGUUUUGGCACAAUUCAGAUGAGCCUCAGUGUUCUUCUGGGUUAGCAGUGGUUUGGCUUUUUGUGACCUCCUGGAUGAGUCGUCGCUGUGCUCCUGGAGGAUAUUUGGAAGGUCGGCCACUUCUGGGUGUCAGCAGUUAUCUCCUCAUCUAACCGGGGGGUCCCCCUUGGUCGUUUUGCUAUCUGUCUGGGGGGGUCUCAAGGAGCAUCUAAGGGGAAAUGCCCACCCCCAGACCCAAUCAUGGGAACUAUGGUCGCCAUAACCGGCUGGAUCCAGCACCAUUCCUGCUUCGUGUUGGACUCCACUGCUACAUAUCUCUGUGUGAUGAUGACUAAAUGCAGCCGAUGCCAAACAUCACUUCAGUCUAUUAUGAUGAACUGAUGCCAACUCCAACCAUAAGACAUGGGAUACUUCAUAUGCCAUUGUAUGAACCUUGGACUCAGGAUAGCCCACACCGAACCUCACCGAAAAGAACAGGCGGUUGAACUGCGUUGCACCUCACUGAUCUCUGCCUGCAUCACCUCGGUCUAUUGAUGGACUACACUCUUGAAAUGGAUCAUAUAGACUAACAAUUGCCAACAAAAUCCUUCAUCAGUCAAUUAACAAAGGAUGGAGUUUUGUGUUGCUUUCCACAGUCGCUUUCAGCUGCUCACAGCGGUUAUAACUACAAUUAUUAUUUAAUUACUUAUUUUUAAACACGAUUAACAAUCGUAUUUAAUCAAACUACACAAUGAUGACUCAUCGACAUCAUAGAUAUUACAGUUUUAUCUUCUGUAAAGCUGCUUUGAAACGAUGUGUGUUGUGAAAGGCGCUAUACAAAUAAAAUUGCCUUGAGUUGAUUGAUCCGGUCUGGGUGCGUCUAGUCCAGCUGAACCCCAUUAUGAAUGCAGUUUCAUAGAUUUGGGGAUUUAGUAACUAAGGGUGCAAAUACUUUUUCACAGGCCCAGUUGGUAUUGGAAAACUUAAAAACUGUAAUUUGUGUUGCCUAUGUUUUAUGUUAGAUUUAGUUAGAAUUUUGAAACAAUUUAGUGAAGAAAUCAGGAGGGCCCGGGGUGGAGGAGGGGGCAAAUACUUUUUCACAGCACUGUACAGAGCAAUGUCCCAAAGAGCAUCUCGUGAGCUUUACUAAAACUGAAAACGUGGUCUGAGACGUUUGGACCCCACAGUAAAGCCCCUCCAUGAUGGUCUGUCUGACAGAGCUGCUCGCUUCUGCAGCUGCGUAUCGCAAUAACAACUGCCAUUUAAUGACAAACAUCGUUUUCUCCGUCUAGACAUCUGGGCACACCAGAGUCACCAUGUUCCCGCAGGAUAAAGAGAGAGUGAAGAAUGGGUUACAUCUGUAGUUUGGAAAUGAUUCGGGCCUGAUUCUAUCAUUAAGCUUCAAGCUUGUGGUCUUGAUUAAAUCAAGAGUUUCAUUCAUUCCAACAACGAUAAAACCACUUUAAAAUAACACACGCCCCGUCAGGAUGAAGGAUCAAAUAUUCCACAGAACAAAACCAUCCCGACAUAUUCACUCCCUUCAGAAACCUAAAGAGAAGUCCAUAUUAUCGUCAAAAUAAUCAGAAUAUCCGGUGAUGGUUUCAAUGACAUGUUUGGUCCACAUAAAAUCUACCGUCAUUUUAUCACAACCAAAUCUAACCGAACACAAUCAAAACUGACAUUUUAGAAAUCCUGAUGAGGAAAUGUUCCGCACAUGUGGGAGCUGCACAGUUGUGUUUUUCCCCAUUUAUCCGUCGCUUUGGUCAAACUCGACCGGGUCAUAUUUCAGCCCAAAAUCAAUAGAAAGAAAUUAUAUUUUGCUUAAAAUAAGUGAGCCAUUAUAGAAACCUCCGUCCAAUUUCAUUUAAUUUAAUUUUAAAUUAAUAGUAUUUGUAAAAGCAUUUUAGUCAAUAUAAUUUGGGGGUAAAAUCUAUGGAAGGCCAAAUUACUAAAAAAUAAAUAUAUAAAAACAUAUUUUAAAAU